rnacentral:piRNA from 1 species
CUCUGCUUUAUCCAUGGACCU